GUCUCUGUGGCACAAUCAGUUAGUGCUUUCGGCUGUUAACUGAAAGGUUGGUGGUUCAAGCACACCCAGGGAUG
rfam:Danio rerio chromosome 4, GRCz11 reference primary assembly.